AGUCAUAUGCUUGUCUCAAAGAUUAAGCCAUGCAUGUGUCAGUACAAACCAAUAUAAGGUGAAACCGCGAAUGGCUCAUUAAAUCAGCUAUGUUUCAUUGGAUCUGUAACCCCCAUUUACUUGGACAACUGUGGUAAUUCUAGAGCUAAUACAUGCACACAUAGUCCCUGACCGUGAGGGAAGGGCGCUUUUAUUAGUUCAAAACCGGUCGGGCCUCGGUCCGUAAACCCACCUGUGAUGACUCUGAAUAACUUUUGGCUGAGCGCACGGUCUCCGUACUGGCGCCGCAUCUUUCAAGUGUCUGCCUUAUCAGCUUUCGAUUGUAGGUUAUGCGCCUACAAUGGCUAUAACGGGUAACGGGGAAUCAGGGUUCGAUUCCGGAGAGGGAGCCUGAGAAACGGCUACCACAUCUAAGGAAGGCAGCAGGCACGCAAAUUACCCACUCCCGGCACGGGGAGGUAGUGACGAAAAAUAACGAUGCGAGACUCAUCCGAGGCCUCGCAAUCGGAAUGAGUACACUUUAAAUCCUUUAACGAGGACCCAUUGGAGGGCAAGUCUGGUGCCAGCAGCCGCGGUAAUUCCAGCUCCAAUAGCGUAUAUUAAAGUUGUUGCGGUUAAAAAGCUCGUAGUUGGACUUAAGUUCUGGACUGAUGGUUCACCGCCCGGUGCCUACUGUCACGCUCCGAAACCGCUCAUUAAUUUGAGCCCUGCCGGCUUGCACGGGGUGCUCUUCACCGAGUGUCCCGAGUGGCCGGUAUGUUUACUUUGAAAAAAUUAGAGUGCUUAAAGCAGGCUACUUGUAUGGCCUGAAUGUCUAUGCAUGGAAUAAUGGAAUAGGACCUCGGUUCUAUUUUGUCGGUUUUCCUUAUCGGAACCCGAGGUAAUGACUAAUCGAGACAGGCGGGGGCAUUCGUACUGCGACGCUAGAGGUGAAAUUCUUGGACCGUCGCAAGACGAACUACUGCGAAAGCAUUUGCCAAGGAUGUUUUCCUUAAUCAAGAACGAAAGUUAGAGGUUCGAAGGCGAUCAGAUACCGCCCUAGUUCUAACCAUAAACGAUGCUAACUAGCGAUCCGCCGGCGUUAUUCCCAUGACCCGGCGGGCAGCUUCCGGGAAACCAAAGUCUUUGAGUUCCGGGGGAAGUAUGGUUGCAAAGCUGAAACUUAAAGGAAUUGACGGAAGGGCACCACCAGGAGUGGAGCCUGCGGCUUAAUUUGACUCAACACGGGGAACCUCACCAGGCCCGGACACCGGAAGGAUUGACAGAUUGAGAGCUCUUUCUCGAUUCGGUGGGUG
rnacentral:rRNA from 1 species